CUGGGGAAGCCAGCUGCCAUGUCCUGAAGAUACUAAGGCAACCGUGUGCAGAGGAACUAAAAUACCGAGUUCAACAACAGGUCUCUUGCUAUCCUUCAAGCAAAGCUAUCUCCAAAUCUGAAGAAGAGACCAAGAAAUAGAAAAAGUAGCACCUCUUGCCUGCUUCCCUGUCUAAUAUUUGAAAGAGUGUGACUCUAUUCAGAGAUCCAGGAGCCAUAAGAAGAAGGGGAUUUAUGGCCAAUUUAUGAGGACAUCUUGAGACAGGAGAACACGCACGAGCUACUUGUGCUGCUGCUGUGGCAUCUGCUGGAGUUGACCACCAAAGCACACAUCCUCUUAGUCUGGAGAAGAGAGGACCCCAGCUGGCGGGAACCAUGCCCAUUCCCUUCUAUGCCAUCAGCCUGAUCUGCACCUUGCCUGGAGUGGUGAGAAUUGGAGACCCUGAACCCCCUCUCAGACAAGAGAUGUCACUUUUCUCCCUGGCUCAGUCUUGAGAAAUACCAGAAAGCAUUAAAAUGUGCUUGAGUUUUUAUGUAUUCUCUACAAGUCUGUAAGGGUACACUCUUACAGAGAGAAUCUGCUUUUACUCCUAAAGUUGAGUUAAAGAGUUCUUGAGAGGUAGGUAGUCAAUGUGGAAGCAGGAAAUUUUUUUUUUUUAUUGUUAUACUUUAAGUUUUACGCUACAUGUGCACAAUGUGCAGGUUAGUUACAUAUGUAUACAUGUGCCAUGCUGGUGUGCUGCACCCAUUAACUCGUCAUUUGGCAUUAGGUAUAUCUCCUAAUGCUAUCCCUCCCCUCUCCCCCCACCCCACAACAGUCCCCAGAGUGUGAUGUUCCCC
rnacentral:lncRNA from 1 species